rnacentral:rRNA from 1 species
AGAGUUUGAUCAUGGCUCAGAAUCAACGCUGGCGGCGUGCCUAACACAUGCAAGUCGAGCGAGAAAAGGGGGGCAACUCCCUGAGUAAAGCGGCGCACGGGUGAGUAACACGUGGGUAAUCUGCCCUGGAGUGGGGAAUAACACCGGGAAACCGGUGCUAAUACCGCAUACGAUCACAGAGUCUGCGGAUUUUGUGAUGAAAGGAGCAAUUCGCUCUAGGAGGAGCCCGCGGCUGAUUAGCUAGUUGGUGAGGUAAUGGCUCACCAAGGCUACGAUCAGUAUCCGGUCUGAGAGGACGGUCGGACACACUGGAACUGAGACACGGUCCAGACUCCUACGGGAGGCAGCAGUGGGGAAUUUUUGGCAAUGGGGGCAACCCUGACCAAGCAACGCCGCGUGGGUGAUGAAGUCUCUUGGGACGUAAAACCCUUUCGACGGGGAAGAAACCGCAAGGUUGACGGUACCCGUAGAAGAAGCCCCGGCUAACUCCGUGCCAGCAGCCGCGGUAAUACGGGGGGGGCAAGCGUUGUUCGGAAUUACUGGGCGUAAAGGGCGCGUAGGCGGUCCGCUAAGUUAGAUGUGAAAACUCUGGGCUCAACCCAGAGCCUGCAUCUAAUACUGACGGGCUAGAGUUCUGGAGGGGGUAGCGGAAUUCCUGGUGUAGCGGUGAAAUGCGUAGAUAUCAGGAGGAACACCGGUGGCGAAGGCGGCUACCUGGACAGAAACUGACGCUGAGGCGCGAAAGCUAGGGGAGCAAACAGGAUUAGAUACCCUAGUAGUCC